rnacentral:rRNA from 1 species
CCUACGGGGGGCUGCAGUGGGGAAUAUUGGACAAUGGGGGCAACCCUGAUCCAGCCAUGCCGCGUGUGUGAAGAAGGCCCUCGGGUUGUAAAGCACUUUCAGUGAGGAAGAACGCCUGGUGGUUAAUACCCAUCAGGAAAGACAUCACUCACAGAAGAAGCACCGGCUAACUCCGUGCCAGCAGCCGCGGUAAUACGGAGGGUGCGAGCGUUAAUCGGAAUUACUGGGCGUAAAGCGCGCGUAGGUGGCUUGAUAAGCCGGUUGUGAAAGCCCCGGGCUCAACCUGGGAACGGCCUCCGGAACUGUCAAGCUAGAGUGCAGGAGAGGAAGGUAGAAUUCCCGGUGUAGAGGUGAAAUGCGUAGAGAUCGGGAGGAAUACCAGUGGCGAAGGCGGCCUUCUGGACUGACACUGACACUGAGGUGCGAAAGCGUGGGUAGCAAACAGGAUUAGAUACCCGAGUAGUC